rnacentral:rRNA from 2 species
GUCUGAUGGAGCAACGCCGCGUGAGUGAUGAAGGGUUUCGGCUCGUAAAACUCUGUUGUUGGAGAAGAACAGGUGUCAGAGUAACUGUUGACAUCUUGACGGUAUCCAACCAGAAAGCCACGGCUAACUACGUGCCAGCAGCCGCGGUAAUACGUAGGUGGCAAGCGUUGUCCGGAUUUAUUGGGCGUAAAGCGAGCGCAGGCGGUUUUUUAGGUCUGAUGUGAAAGCCUUCGGCUUAACCGGAGAAGUGCAUCGGAAACCGGGAGACUUGAGUGCAGAAGAGGACAGUGGAACUCCAUGUGUAGCGGUGAAAUGCGUAGAUAUAUGGAAGAACACCAGUGGCGAAGGCGGCUGUCUGGUCUGUAACUGACGCUGAGGCUCGAAAGCAUGGGUAGCGAACAGGAUUAGAUACCCUGGUAGUCCAUGCCGUAAACGAUGAGUGCUAAGUGUUGGAGGGUUUCCGCCCUUCAGUGCUGCAGCUAACGCAUUAAGCACUCCGCCUGGGGAGUACGACCGCAAGGUUGAAACUCAAAGGAAUUGACGGGGGCCCGCACAAGCGGUGGAGCAUGUGGUUUAAUUCGAUGCUACGCGAAGAACCUUACCAGGUCUUGACAUCUUCUGCCAACCUAAGAGAUUAGGCGUUCCCUUCGGGGACAGAAUGACAGGUGGUGCAUGGUUGUCGUCAGCUCGUGUCGUGAGAUGUUGGGUUAAGUCCCGCAACGAGCGCAACCCUUAUUGUUAGUUGCCAGCAUUCAGUUGGGCACUCUAGCAAGACUGCCGGUGACAAACCGGAGGAAGGUGGGGAUGACGUCAAAUCAUCAUGCCCCUUAUGACCUGGGCUACACACGUGCUACAAUGGACGGUACAACGAGUCGCGAAACCGCGAGGUCAAGCUAAUCUCUUAAAGCCGUUCUCAGUUCGGAUUGUAGGCUGCAACUCGCCUACAUGAAGUUGGAAUCGCUAGUAAUCGUGGAUCAGCAUGCCACGGUGAAUACGUUCCCGGGCCUUGUACACACCGCCCGUCACACCAUGAGAGUUUGUAACACCCAAAGCCGGUGAGGUAACCUUCGGGACCAGCCGUCUA